GCGGCUGUGCGUCCUCUCCUGAACACAACACAGCAGCUCGUCUUCUUAAGUAAAGCUCAAGUCUUUCUUUAACCCCUUUCAUUCUUUAAUUACAGAUGAGAAAUCCAAGCCACCGCUUCCCCCAUAGACGCUUCCGAUUACUGAACCCUUCAUCUCUCGAUUCCUCCUUUCUUCCUACGACCCUUUUGGCUACUGGAAGCUCCAAACUUUAUAGAAGGAAAGGGUUGGUUGAAGUAUAUCAAGAGUAGCUGAACUG